UACGUAGGGUGCGAGCGUUGUCCGGAAUUAUUGGGCGUAAAGAGCUCGUAGGCGGUCUGUCGCGUCGAUCGUGAAAACUUGGGGGCUUAACCCUGAGCUUGCGGUCGAUACGGGCAUGACUGGAGUUCGGCAGGGGAGACUGGAAUUCCUGGUGUAGCGGUGAAAUGCGCAGAUAUCAGGAGGAACACCGGUGGCGAAGGCGGGUCUCUGGGCCGAUACUGACGCUGAGGAGCGAAAGCGUGGGGAGCGAACAGG
rnacentral:rRNA from 1 species